rnacentral:rRNA from 1 species
GACGAACGCUGGCGGCGUGCUUAACACAUGCAAGUCGAGCGGUAAGGCCCUUUCGGGGGUACACGAGCGGCGAACGGGUGAGUAACACGUGGGUGACCUGCCCUCAGCUCUGGGAUAAGCCUGGGAAACCGGGUCUAAUACCGGAUAUGACUCCAUGACGCAUGUUGUGGGGUGGAAAGCCUUGUGCGGCUGAGGAUGGGCCCGCGGCCUGUCAGCUUGUUGGUGGGGUGANGGCCUACCAAGGCGACGACGGGUAGCCGGCCUGAGAGGGCGACCGGCCACACUGGGACUGAGACACGGCCCAGACUCCUACGGGAGGCAGCAGUGGGGAAUCUUGCGCAAUGGGCGAAAGCCUGACGCAGCGACGCCGCGUGAGGGAUGACGGCCU